CAGAGAACUUCAGAAAUGGAGCAAACAGCAAGGGUUUUUAUAUUUAUAGAGGCACCAGAAUUUCAGACACAUCAGAACACUGAACAUCUAGAGUCCUGAAGACAGGUUGUCACUCACCUUCCAGGCGUGAAGGGCACGUGAACAGCUCCAUAACCUCUGACCACGUCGUGUCCAAAGAAGUCAGGCCCGUAAACGCUCAGCACAAUCUGUGGCCCUGCAAGGAAGGGGGUGUGAGAGGAGGGGCUGGUCUAGGGGCUGGAAAUCCCCCCCCCAGCACUCACAGCCAAAAGGGUUGGUGCUCUUGAAGGUGAUGUCGAUGGGGAAGUUCCACACGAGCGUGGUGGGCGAGACGUCGCUCUUGGAGGGACCACAACGUGACGGUGCUGGGCUGGUGACAUGAUGGUGAUGUGACAGUGCUGGCCCUUUGGGACCGUGGUCGUGCCACUGCUCCUGCCAGGAAUCUUUGCUGCCCACACUCACGUCAGCGCCACGGAGACUCAGCAACCCGGCCACCAUCUGCCGUGCUUCAUCCCUUCGCCUCCUUUCUCCAUCCCACACCACGUUCCCCUCGCUGUGAGGAAUUUGUGGGGCGUUUGGUUGCUGCCAGACCCUCUGGGGAAGGACGGGAGGAAAGAAGGAAGCCCUGGCUCGGCGCCUGUUUGGGUUUCCCACUGUAGCCAGUCGGAGCCCUUUCACAGAUGGGCUGAGCAGAGAUUUAUGGCCUCAGUCCUCGUCCUCAUCCGCUGUCUCCUUUUUCCCUCCCUUUGGCAUACUGGUGGAGGUGGCUGUGCUGCUUUGGCUCCCUGCAGUGCCACACCAUGGGCUAUUCAUUGCAGUCUUUCCCUAAGGAAAGGCACCAAGACAACCUUUUCUGCUGAAAGGGGUGCUGUGCAUAAAUACUGAUGGCCCUGCCCAUGGCAGGGGGUGAAUGAGAUGAUUUUUAAGGUCCCUUCCAACCCAAACCACUCUGGGAUUCUAUAUUGGACUGAAAGUAAACUACCAUUACACUUCAUGCUGAAAAAUACCUUCCAUGUUCCAAUAACUGUAUUCUCUGUCAGUAUCUAUCUCAACUCGAUUUUUCAGGCCAAACAAAUUUGACCAAGAGAAGAAUGGAAGAGAAAAGAAGGAGAGAUGGGAGGGAAUGCCUGAAAUUUUAUCCUUUCUCCCCUGCCCUUCAGAAAUGCUUCAGAGAAAAUUCAUUUGAACUGAAAAUUAUCAGGGGGGGAAAUAAAGCAGUUUUGGAGCAUCUGUCUGGAGCAGUUAGUGAGGCUGUUUAAUUAACACUGCAUUUGGCUACCAGCUACCUUGGAGCUUGCUAAGAGCCAAUUUAAGGAAUUUUUUUGUUGCCUGGCAAGUGAUAUACAGGUGCUGGAGGAAUUCUAUCAGCACUGGGAGACCUUCCCCAUGACAGAGGGACAGCAGGAGGCUUUUUCAGCAGCCGUGAGUCAUCUGUACCUGCCUCUG